rnacentral:rRNA from 1 species
UAGGGAAUCUUCCGCAAUGGACGCAAGUCUGACGGAGCAACGCCGCGUGAGUGAAGAAGGAUUUCGGUUCGUAAAACUCUGUUGUUAGAGAAGAACAGCGCAUAGAGUAACUGUUAUGCGUGUGACGGUAUCUAACCAGAAAGCCACGGCUAACUACGUGCCAGCAGCCGCGGUAAUACGUAGGUGGCAAGCGUUGUCCGGAUUUAUUGGGCGUAAAGCGAGCGCAGGCGGUCAAUUAAGUCUGAUGUGAAAGCCCCCGGCUCAACCGGGGAGGGUCAUUGGAAACUGGUUGACUUGAGUGCAGAAGAGGAGAGUGGAAUUCCAUGUGUAGCGGUGAAAUGCGUAGAUAUUAAAAAGAAUACCGGUGGCGAAGGCGACUUUCUGGCCAUAACCUGACGCUGAGGUACGAAAGCGUGGGUAGCAAACAGG